AUUGAACGCUGGCGGCAGGCCUAACACAUGCAAGUCGAACGAGUGGCGGACGGGUGAGUAAUGUCUGGGAAACUGCCCGAUGGUGGGGGAUAAUUACUGGAACCGGUAGCUAAUACCGCAUAUCAUCCGUUGUGCCCAGAUGGGAUUAGCUAGUAGGUGGGGUAACGGCUCACCUAGGCGACGAUCCCUAGCUGGUCUGAGAGGAUGACCAGCCACACUGGAACUGAGACACGGUCCAGACUCCUACGGGAGGCAGCAGUGGGGAAUAUUGCACAAUGGGCGCAAGCCUGAUGCAGCCAUGCCGCGUGUAUGAAGAAGGCCUUCGGGUUGUAAAGUACUUUCAGUGGGGAGGCGUUACUCGCAGAAGAAGCACCGACUAACUCCGUGCCAGCCGCCGCGGUAAUAC
rnacentral:rRNA from 1 species